rnacentral:rRNA from 1 species
UGCCAGUGAUAAACUGGAGGAAGGUGGGGAUGACGUCAAGUCAUCAUGGCCCUUACGAGUAGGGCUACACACGUGCUACAAUGGCAUAUACAAAGAGAAGCGACCUCGCGAGAGCAAGCGGACCUCAUAAAGUAUGUCGUAGUCCGGAUUGGAGUCUGCAACUCGACUCCAUGAAGUCGGAAUCGCUAGUAAUCGUAGAUCAGAAUGCUACGGUGAAUACGUUCCCGGGCCUUGUACACACCGCCCGUCACACCAUGGGAGUGGGUUGCAAAAGAAGUAGGUAGCUUAACCUUCGGGAGGGCGCUUACCACUUUGUGAUUCAUGACUGGGGUGAAGUCGUAACAAGGUAACCGUAGGGGAACCUGCGGUUGGA